UACGUAGGGUGCAAGCGUUGUCCGGAAUUAUUGGGCGUAAAGAGCUCGUAGGCGGUUCGUCGCGUCGGCUGUGAAAUCCCGAGGCUCAACCUCGGGUCUGCAGUCGAUACGGGCGGACUGGAGUACUGCAGGGGAGACUGGAAUUCCCGGUGUAGCGGUGAAAUGCGCAGAUAUCAGGAGGAACACCGGUGGCGAAGGCGGGUCUCUGGGCCGAUACUGACGCUGAGGUGCGAAAGCGUGGGGAGCAAACAGG
rnacentral:rRNA from 1 species